rnacentral:rRNA from 1 species
GUCAGAGUUUGAUCCUGGCUCAGAUUGAACGCUGGCGGUAUGCCUUACACAUGCAAGUCGAACGGUAGGGGGGAGCAAUCCCCUGAGAGUGGCGAACGGGUGAGUAAUACAUCGGAACGUGCCCAGUCGUGGGGGGAUAACGUAGCGAAAGCUACGCUAAUACCGCAUACGACCUGAGGGUGAAAGCGGGGGUACCGUAAGGCCUCGCGCGAUUGGAGCGGCCGAUGGCAGAUUAGGUAGUUGGUGGGUAAACGGCCACCAAGCCGACGAUCUGUAGCUGGUCUGAGAGGA